GGACCUAUGGUCUAGCCGGUCAUGACGUCGCCUUUACACGGCGAAGAUCGUGAGUUCGAAUCUCACUGGGUCCA
rnacentral:tRNA from 1 species